AGAUAAGACUCAUUUCAGCUUUGACUUCAUAUCUGGAGGCACAGUAUCCAAAAUAAAUCCUCGCAAAAUGUUUGUCUACAUUUUAUUAACAUUCGCGUGUGUUCAUGCCCAGAUAACAUUGCCCAGUCACCAUCAACUGGUCGAGUUGGUUGACCAAGGGAUCAAGCUGCUUGAUGCAAAUCAUGACGGAAUCAUACAGAUGUCAGAGAUGGAAAGAGGAUGGCAGUAUGAAGACAUUAACA